UACGUAGGGUGCAAGCGUUUGUCCGGAAUUAUUGGGCGUAAAGAGCUCGUGGGCGGUCCGUCACGUCGGACUGUGAAAACCUGGGCUCAACCCGGGCCUGCAGCCGAUACGGGCGGACUAGAAUUUCGGUAGGGGAGACUGGAAUUCCUGGUGUAGCGGUGAAAUGCGCAGAUAUCAGGAGGAACACCGGUGGCGAAAGGCGGGUCUCUGGGCCGAUAUUGACGCUGAGGAGCGAAAAGCGUGGGGAGCGAACAGG
rnacentral:rRNA from 1 species